AAUAAAUAGGGAUACAAUAAAACUGAGCAGCAAUAAUAGUGUUUUACAAGUUUAAAGUAUCAGAUUUGAGUGGUGGUGGUUUGAAAUGCAUGCUUAGUGAAUUCGAAAAUGUGUCCAGUGCCUAGCCAGUGUGUCUGCUGGGCAGUCAAGGUCAUGAAAUACGUACAUGCUGGUUUCUAGCUCCGAAGGCUAAUUUUGCAUGAAUUUUAAAGGUGCCUCCACUCAACUGAAUUUCUGCAAAAAACCGCGUGGAUGACCCUAGGAUUCUUCGGUGUCGGUCAAAUAUCUGGUGUAGACGUUGUGUUAGCUGUGAGGACGGACAGUGCCCCCACCCCGGCAGCCAGUAGCCGAUUUGUGAAAAACUGUAGUGUGCCCCCUUAAGGUGUAGACGUUGUGUUAGCUGUGAGGACGGACAGUGCCCCCACCCCGGCAGCCAGAAGCCGAUUUGUGAAAAACUGUAGUGUGCCCCCUU